GGGUUGCAGCUCAGUGGUACAGCACUCGCCUAGCACGUGCAAGGUACUGAGUUCGAUCCUCAGCAACACA
rnacentral:tRNA from 1 species